UACGUAGGGGGCUAGCGUUGUCCGGAUUUAUUGGGCGUAAAGAGCGUGUAGGCGGCCAGGUAGGUCUGCUGUGAAAACUCGAGGCUCAACCUCGAGACGUCGGCGGAAACCAUCUGGCUAGAGUCCGGAAGAGGAGAGUGGAAUUCCUGGUGUAGCGGUGAAAUGCGCAGAUAUCAGGAAGAACACCCGUGGCGAAGGCGGCUCUCUGGGACAGUACUGACGCUGAGACGCGAAAGCGUGGGGAGCGAACAGG
rnacentral:rRNA from 1 species